rnacentral:rRNA from 1 species
AAUCAACGCUGGCGGCGUGCCUCAGACAUGCAAGUCGAACGAUUAAACUUCCCUUCGGGGAAGAUAUAAAGUGGCGCACGGGUGAGUAACACGUAGGUAAUGUACCUUUGGGUGGGGAAUAACUUAGGGAAACUUAAGCUAAUACCGCAUAAUGCAGCGGCUCCUUCGGGAGACAGUUGUUAAAGAUUUAUCGCCUAAAGAGCAGCCUGCGGCAGAUUAGCUAGUUGGUAAGGUAACGGCUUACCAAGGCUACGAUCUGUAUCCGACCUGAGAGGGUGGUCGGAGACACUUACGCUGAAUAGCAGGUCAGAAUCCUACGGGAGGCAGCAGUCGGGGAUUUUGGGCAAUGGGCGGAAGCCUGACCCAGCAACGCCGCGUGAAGGAUGAAAUCUUGCGGGAUGUAAACUUCGUAAGAAUAGGAAGAAUAAAUGACGGUACUAUUAGUAAGGUCCGGCUAACUACGUG